AGAGUUUGAUCCUGGCUCAGAACGAACGCUGGCGGCAGGCCUAACACAUGCAAGUCGAACGAAGUCUUCGGACUGAGUGGCGGACGGGUGAGUAACACGUGGGAACCUAUCCUUUGGUGCGGAAUAACAGAGGGAAACUUCUGCUAAUACCGCAUACGCCCUAAGGGGGAAAGAUUUAUCGCCAAAGGAGGGGCCCGCGUAGGAUUAGCUAGUUGGUGGGGUAAUGGCCUACCAAGGCUGCGAUCCUUAGCUGGUCUGAGAGGAUGAUCAGCCACACUGGGACUGAGACACGGCCCAGACUCCUACGGGAGGCAGCAGUGGGGAAUAUUGGACAAUGGGGGCAACCCUGAUCCAGCCAUGCCGCGUGAAUGAAGAAGGCCCUAGGGUUGUAAAGUUCUUUCACUCGUGAGGAUGAUGACAGUAGCGAGAGAAGAAGCCCCGGCUAACUCCGUGCCAGCAGCCGCGGUAAUACGGAGGGGGCAAGCGUUGUUCGGAUUUACUGGGCGUAAAGGGCGCGUAGGCGGCAUGCCAAGUUGGGGGUGAAAGGCCUGGGCUUAACCUAGGAACUGCCUUCAAAACUGGCAAGCUUGAGACCGGGAGAGGUUAGCGGAAUUCCCAGUGUAGAGGUGAAAUUCGUAGAUAUUGGGAAGAACACCAGUGGCGUAGGCGGCUAACUGGACCGGAUCUGACGCUGAGGCGCG
rnacentral:rRNA from 1 species